AUAAAAGCUCAGGUAGAAUCCAGAUUACAUUCACUGCUUUGAAGGGGUGACUGAACACUGAACAAAAUCAUUGCUAAGACGUCUACUUACCACACACUGCAAAUCGUCUGCAACAAUGAGCCAUUACAGCUGUCACUGUAAACAAAUGGCUAUUGGGUAUGGAGGUCAGGUUGUCUAUCUUGAUGAUAAUGAAGAGGAACAGAUGGCUGUUGUACAGAGCCAUGCAAAUAUAAUAAAAGAAUUCUUCUAUGGUGAACAAGUUAAUGUUCCAAGACAUGGUGAGGUGACUCGCUAUUACCCUGCCCAGAACUCCUUCCGGAGAGUAGUGAAGAAGAAUGGCCAGAUUGUUUAUGCUGAAGAAACCAAAUACUACAAAUAAGUUCUGAAACACAGCACCUAGUAAACUGAUUGCUUUGUCUAGAUGUUGAUUUAAAUGUUAAUUCCUUUACUUUCUUUACAUAUGUUUGUUAUGAUAAUUGUUAGUACUUUAAUUCUGUUUUAUGUCUAAAAGAUCAGCACUUUGUCUCUAAACCUCUUCUGUAUGCUGCUGCUUUUUUGACAGUAAUCAAAGGUGAAAGUUAAUAAAUGCUCAUCACAGUUGUUUUUAUGUUUAUUAUAAUUAAUGUUUUUUUCCCUCAAUAAAUGCAGUGUUGCACA